AACGAACGCUGGCGGCAUGCCUAACACAUGCAAGUCGAACGAGACCUUCGGGUCUAGUGGCGCACGGGUGCGUAACGCGUGGGAACCUGCACUUAGGUUCGGAAUAACUCCCCGAAAGGGGUGCUAAUACCGGAUAAUGUCUUCGGACCAAAGAUUUAUCGCCUUUGGAUGGGCCCGCGUUGGAUUAGCUAGUUGGUAGGGUAAAAGCUUACCAAGGCGUCGAUGCAUAGCUGGUCUGAGAGGAUGAUCAGCCACACUGGGACUGAGACACGGCCCAGACUCCUACGCGAGGGAGGAGUGGGGAAUAUUGGACGAUGGGCGAAGGCCUGAUCCAGCAAUGCCGCGUGAGUGAUGAAGGCCUUAGGGUUGUAAAGCUCUUUUACCCGGGAUGAUAAUGACGGUACCGGGAGAAUAAGCUCCGGCUAACUCCGUG
rnacentral:rRNA from 1 species